UUUUGUAUCCCACUUUUUUUUUUAAAAAAAUUACACCUACGGUGCACAACAAUUGUUGAGGGUUUAAGCUUGGUCCCCCCUCUUCUCGGUGCUGGAUCUGCCAUGAAAGCCAUUUUUCGCCGCCGGUGAUAGACUAGCCACCAGACCUGACGGUAAAAUUGAUACUACUUAAAUUUUAAUUAUGGAUCUAAUUAAAAGGAACAACUUGAGGAAGCAUCAAUGCAAGCUAGUAGACUUCAAUUUUAACAAAGGUAAUAUUUGUUACUACUUUAAAAUUUUAAUUAAAAGGAACCGUUUUAGGAAGCAUCAAUGCAAGCUAGUGGACUUCAAUUUUAAGAAAGCCACCAUACCUGAUGACGGUAAAAUCCAUACUACUUUAAAAUUUUAAUUAAAAGGAACCAUUUCACGAAGCAUCAAUGCAAGCUAGUGGACUUCAAUUUAAACAAAAGUCCAAAUUCAAGUCAGGGAGUAUUAGGACUCUCUUUGGUGAUUCGUGACCAAUCUGAAUCUCAAUUUGAGCACCGCUCCCCUGAAACAUUUUCCUCACUUAUAUUUUCAUCUCAACUUAUAUUUUCUCAAUUUGACCAAUCUUAAUCUUGAAUUUUAUAUCCACUUAUAUUUUGUCACGUUUUCUUUUAUAGGUAAUAUUGUUGCUACUUUAAAAUUUUAAUUAAAAGGAACCGUUUGAGGAAGCAUCAAUGCAAGCUAGUGGACUUCAUUUUAACAAAGAGCUCUUGAAGUUUUUUUUGGAGGCGGCAUGCACAUUUCUUGACACCCAGGUGUUUCUUACCUAGAAGUUCGAGGAAAUUAGAGACAAAAACAUAUAGAAAUGUGAACCUGUGCAUCUCCGAGGGAAUUGCUUCUUGCUAUGUUUACUGCGGUGAAGUGUGGGAAACAUCAAUUAACGGUUCAACAGUAGAUUGACAAUAUUUAUUACAUAUUAGAGAACCAAGUUUAUUUUAUGCCAAGUUCAUCAACCAUGGAGGCUAUAUAUACCUACUGUGAGUUGGAAAUUGAGGCUUAUCCGUUGCUGGAUGAACUGACAUCGAAGAUCAGUAUGUACUCUAAAUUUGGAACGCGCUCGUUCGUAGAAAAGCAGACUUGUUGCCCUUACUAGGAGGGUUCAGAAGGUUAGAGUCGAAAUAAAGCAAGUUAUGGAUGAUGACGGUGAUAUGGCUGAAAUGUACCUUACGGAGAAGAAAAGACGGAUAUGACUGUCAUUUGAUGGAGAUCAGUUUAUGCUUGGAUAUAGAUCAGUCACUCCUGUUUCAACACCACCUGAUUUUAGAAGGCUUGAUAAGAGCUUGAGCAUUGCUAGGAGUGUACACAAGAGGAUGAGAAGUAGCGAAUGUAAUGCAGAAAAUAUAGAAGAGCUUGAGAUGUUGUUAGAAACAUACUUUGUUGUCAUUGAUAGCACACUCUAAACAAGUUGACAUCGGGACCCUCUAACAUUGAACUUGAGGGAAAGCUGUUGUUUCCUCUUAUUGUGGGUGAAUUAUGUGCUGUUCAUUAAGUUAAUAAAGAAGCACCAAAGCUCGUUUACACUACAGGCAAGAGUCUUCUACAAUAGGAAAAUGAAGCACAAGAAUUAGAGGUUUACCUAGAAACAGAAUCACUGAUAGGAUAUUUAUUUACUGCACAAUAAAUUGAUUUGUGAGGCGAAAGAAUCGAUGAAUGUUGAAUGGGAGAGUAUUUCUUUGGAGGAGGAUAGUGUUGAUCUGGAUUGGAUGAAUGAACUCAAUCCACUAAUUGUAACUAAUGAUAACUUUAUCAUUUUUAACCAAGUUGGAUUGCAAUAAUAAAACUGAGUAUACAUGUUUAAUGAAGAACCAGAGAUGGUGGAUGGCUUUAUGAUUAUAGCUUAUAACGUUAGUUAAUUGCUCAGUAGUGCUUCGCCACUACCGUAGCUGGCGGAAAUAGCUUAAUGGUAGAGCAUAGCCUUGUAAUGAUUACUGUAUGAUGUCAAAUGACUAUUGAUGAGGUACUGUUAUUUUAAGCAAUAACCAAGUUUUUGAAAUUUGAAUGCUUUAGGAUGUGAAUGAUUUAUGUUGGUUCUAUAUGCUUGAAGCCAUGAAUAUAUAUAGAUAAAAGAAUAUUGAGAAACCAUUGGCUACUUGAGUGAUUGGUUAAGAAGAGCUCUAGUAUAGUACAAUACUAAUUAGGAUUGGUCAUAGUAACUAACUACAGUGAGACAAGAGCAUGUACAGGAUCACACGGGAUUGUCUAGAGGUCUUUCCAAAGACCAAAUGUGAUAAUGUAUAUAAUAUAAGUCCCACCUUCUAUAAAUAAAACCAACAUAUUACCCCACCUGUACAUGCAAGAGUUCUGGUAUUCAAAUUUUUGGUAUGUCUUAAACAACUAUUGAUACUUACUUAGGGAGGCAAGGACCGCGAAGUUCUGUGCAAAUUUCACGGGGUUGGUUUUAUAAAAAUAUAAAUUGUGGUUCAUAAUGGCUCAUGAUCUUGUGUUCUAUAUUGAUUCUCUUCUUUUCUCCUAACAUUGUUUCUGAGCU